rnacentral:rRNA from 1 species
CGACGGGGAGGUUUGGCACCUCGAUGUCGGCUCAUCACAUCCUGGGGCUGUAGCAGGUCCCAAGGGUAUGGCUGUUCGCCAUUUAAAGUGGUACGCGAGCUGGGUUCAGAACGUCGUGAGACAGUUCGGUCCCUAUCUGCCAUGGGCGUUGGAAAUUUGAGGGUGAGUUGCUCCUAGUACGAGAGGACCGGAGUGAACGUACCUCUGGUGUUCCGGUUGUCACGCCAGUGGCAUUGCCGGGUAGCUAUGUACGGACGGGAUAACCGCUGAAGGCAUCUAAGCGGGAAGCCCCCCCCAAGAUAAGAUUUCCCUGGGGACUUGAUCCCCCUGAAGGGCCGUCGAAGACUACGACGUUGAUAGGCUGGGUGUGGAAGCGCGGCAACGCGUGUAGCUAACCAGUACUAAUUGCCCGUGCGGCUUGACCAU